rnacentral:snRNA from 1 species
CGUCUGACUUGGGUAUAGGGG